rnacentral:rRNA from 1 species
UACGGAGGAUGCGAGCGUUAUCCGGAUUUAUUGGGUUUAAAGGGUGCGUAGGCGGGAUGCCAAGUCAGCGGUAAAAAUGCGGUGCUCAACGCCGUCGAGCCGUUGAAACUGGCGUUCUUGAGUGGGCGAGAAGUAUGCGGAAUGCGUGGUGUAGUGGUGAAAUGCAUAGAUAUCACGCAGAACUCCGAUUGCGAAGGCAGCAUACCGGCGCCCUACUGACGCUGAGGCACGAAAGCGUGGGUAUCGAACAGG